UUAAUAACAACGAAAGGCUGGCGAACGCAAGCAAAGCAAGAAAACUUGACCUUUCGUCUCCAUCUAUAAGAGACUUGACCUCAAAUCAGGUAGGACUACCCGCUGAACUUAAGCAUAUCAAUAAGCGGAGGAAAAGAACUAACAAGGAUUCCCCUAGUAACUGCGAGUGAAGCGGGAAAAGCUCAAAUUUUGAAUCUGGCGGUCUUUUUGGCCGUCCGAGUUGUAAUCUAGAGAAGCGUCUUCCGCGCUGGACCGUGUACAAGUCUCCUGGAAGGGAGCGUCAUAGAGGGUGAGAAUCCCGUCUUUGACACGGACCACCAGUGCUAUGUGAUGCGCUCUCGACGAGUCGAGUUGUUUGGGAAUGCAGCUCAAAAUGGGUGGUAAAUUCCAUCUAAAGCUAAAUAUAGGCGAGAGACCGAUAGCGAACAAGUACCGUGAGGGAAAGAUGAAAAGAACUUUGGAAAGAGAGUUAAACAGUACGUGAAAUUGCUGAAAGGGAAACGCUUGAUGUCAGUCGCGUCCGCCAGGGAUCAACCUUGCCUUAUCGCUGGGUGCAUUUCUUGGUCGGACGGGUCAGCAUCAGUUUCGAUCGUCGUAGAAUGGCCAAGGGAAUGUGGCACCUCUAGGGGUGUGUUAUAGCCCUCGGUCGUAUGCGUCGAUGGGGACUGAGGAACUCGGCACGACCUUCAUGGCCUGUGUCUAGGAUGCUGGCAUAAUGGCCUUAAGCGACCCGUCU
rnacentral:rRNA from 1 species